GUGGUAAAGAAUAGGAUGAGCGAGGAGUGGAGAGGUGCUGCACCCCAGUGGUGACCUUUGACCCGCCACGCUUCCAUCUCCAGCGUUGGGAUAGGCUGGCUAGCCGGACGCUUUUAUACUGCAGGAAAUGCACUGGUUGGCCUGGGCACUUUACUGUGAUGCUAUGACAUAUAGCUAGAACGGGAGUGAAGCAGCAUGCAUACAGAAUUUUGGGGGAUGCUUCGUGGUGGCAACAUUUUCCUGGUCAUUACACAGUUGUACGAGGUCGAGGUACAAGAUUGCUUCCCUUGUACGUUGGGUCUUGGAGAGUACCAAGCGGAGUCGUAAAAUCUGGUGGUAGGAAGCCGUGGAGGCCCAUAGGAUUGUGAGACAUCGAGGCUGCCACAUUUUCUUUAGACAGUCGGC